GGGGCCGAUUAGGAUUCGACGCCGGUAACAAAACUCUAGGGGCAUGCCGAGUGGGUAACAGCACUCGUAAAUCCACUGUUACAUACUUGAUAGUUGCCAAACUUGCCAACUACGGUGCUCCUGCAAUGAACGAUUCCUCCUUCAAGGAAAAGAUCUACGCCUAAGCACUUCUGGCUGCCUCGGCGCCAGCAAUCACCAGGGGAUUUCUGUAAACCCGACCUGAUUGUCAUAUAGAACAGAAUCGCCGCGUAGUGUGCUGUGGACGUAACGGCUAAAUAUUACACAGCUCGCCCUUAGCACCCUGCCCCUCGGGCGGCGACGGGUUAACUUAAUUGAACGGGCUAAGCAUGUAGAACCGACAGCGGAGUACUGGCGGACGGGGGUUCAAAUCCCCCCGGCUCCACCA
rnacentral:tmRNA from 1 species